rnacentral:rRNA from 1 species
AGUGAACGCUGGCGGUAGGCCUAACACAUGCAAGUCGAACGGCAGCACAGUAAGAGCUUGCUCUUACGGGUGGCGAGUGGCGGACGGGUGAGGAAUACAUCGGAAUCUACUUUUUCGUGGGGGACAACGUAGGGAAACUUACGCUAAUACCGCAUACGACCUACGGGUGAAAGCAGGGGAUCUUCUGACCUUGCGCGAUUGAAUGAGCCGAUGUCGGAUUAGCUAGUUGGCGGGGUAAAGGCCCACCAAGGCGACGAUCCGUAGCUGGUCUGAGAGGAUGAUCAGCCACACUGGAACUGAGACACGGUCCAGAGUCCUACGGGAGGCAGCAGUGGGGAAUAUUGGACAAUGGGCGCAAGCCUGAUCCAGCCAGACCGCGUGGGUGAAGAAGGCCUUCGGGUUGUAAAGCCCUUUUGUUGGGAAAGAAAAGCAGCAGGUUAAUACCACGCUGUUCUGACGGUACCCAAAGAAUAAGCACCGGCUAACUUCGUG